AGGCGAUAAUUCUUUUUGUUCAUAAUCCCCCAGGAAUAUUUUCUCUUUGUUAGGAUAAUAUCAAGAAGAUUUGAACUGCUAUUUGCUCUUCUAAAAUUCUACUUCCUGCAGCCAUGGCAGUUUCUGCAGAAACUGUCCAAGGAAAGCAGCUGUUUUUUUUGAACUGGAUGACGAACAUUUAUUAAACUUUACAAGCUCUCAAUUCUGCGCUAAACUUCUUGAAAUUCUAUAGUCCAAAGCAUUUUUUAAAUUCCAUAGUGAUAUUCUCCAUCCCUUUUGAUUCAAAUGAAGAUAACAGAUUCUGAUGAAUAUUACAAGCAAAAAGAAGAAAGAAAUUUGGAAGUGUUAAUACAAUCUUAAUGUGCUUUGCUGG
rnacentral:misc_RNA from 1 species